UAUUGGACAAUGUGGGCAACCCUGAUCCAGCCAUGCCGCGUGUGUGAAGAAGGUCUUCUGAUUGUAAAGCACUUUUGGCAGGGAAGAAAAGCCGCGGGUUAAUACCUUGCGGUGCUGACGGUACUUUCAGACUAAGCACCGGCUAACUAUGUGGCAGCAGCCGCGGUAAUACGUAGGGUGCAAGCGUUAACCGGAAUUACUGGGCGUAAAUCGUGCGCAGGCGGUUCGGCAAGAAGGAUGUGAAAUCCCGGGGCUUAACCUCGGAACUGCAUUCUUAACUGCCGGGCUAGAGUAUGUCAGAGGGGGGUAGAAUUCCGCGUGUAGCAGUGAAAUGCGUAGAGAUGCGGAGGAAUACCGAUGGCGAAGGCAGCCCCCUGGGAUAAUACUGACGCUCAUGCACGAAAGCGUGGGGAGCAAAC
rnacentral:rRNA from 1 species